CCCGUUCCAGGUUGAUUGAGGUUGCUUCCAUCGCGAACGGUCCCGGGCCUAACGAGGAUGGCCGAUUAUGGCGACUAAUCCUCCCAGGAAGCCGCCAGAUCAUGACACCGCCACGACCACCGAGUUCAACCACGUCAGCAGCACCGCAAGUAGCAGCUUACUGCUGAAGCAACGGCGCUCGACCUGUUCCUGUUCGAACAUUGCGAUUAUGCAACUGUUCCACGAGAUGAAGCAGAAGUUUCCAACCGUACCGGACCACGUGGUGUCGGACCUGGUGACGGCCAACUGUCACAACCGGCCGGCCUGCAUCGACAGUCUGGAGAAGGCCGUGGCGGGAACGCCGGCCACGGCCCAAGCCUACCCGUCGCAGGUCAUUCACAACACGAGCCUGAAGAGGCGCAUCAACGAGCGGAAGUUGCGGUCGAUGGAGCACAGCUUCAGCGGGGGCAGCAGCGGCAGCAGUAGUCGCGAGAGCAGCGUUGACAAGACGAGUAGCGGCUGCGGGAGCAGAUUCCACAAUAACAACAAUGCAUCGUCGUCGUCGUCGCCGGCGGUGACUGAAGUACCACGUGAUGGCAAUGUAAAUAACGCUGAUAACCAGCACCCUGCCUCAACGAUGACGACAUCGUCACCAGCCUUUGAUAACAACAGCAACCCACCGCCAAAUCGACCCAACACACUCGCGUUCAGUGGGCCGCGACCGACGCGAGUGGCACCACCAAUACCGCCCAUCAGUUCCACGAUAACCGCCAGUCCCGAGCUCGGCGAAACCGUCAACGUGCAGCUCAACGUAACCGUGUCGCCGGUCGCCAGCCGGAGUCCCCUCGGCCAACGCCACACCUCGGUCCUCCAGCUCCAACCCGAAUCCCCGUACUCCCGCGAACUCGCCCAAGCCUCAACCACCUUCAACGCCGCCACUGGCCCACUCCCACCCGGUGCCAACAGCCGGAGUUCAACCUCCGUCAAUCUGACCCUCCGUCAGCCCAGCGAAACGCCCCAAUCCCCCAUCCACAUUCACGCCAGCCCGCUCAAGUACACAGCGAAGGGUUUCAACGCGCAGUCCGGCAUCCAGAGCAAGCUCGAGAUCACCUUCCGGGACGGGUUCGGAUCGAUCAGUGCGAUGCGAACGCACGUGCCGGGUUUCGAGCAGCAGCAGCAGGGCGUUGCGGCGUUGGUGGCGGAUAAUCACCACUACCAGGAGCAGCAGAUGGCCGUGAACGCGGCCCAGCUGGAGAACGAUGGACUGGAGCGGGCGCAGCGGUACGAGAACUAUCUGACAGAGGUAGCCAUCACGCACCAGCUGGACCAGAAGAACCGACUGAGCGAGGAGGUGGACCGAUACCGGUACCAGCUCGAAUCAAUCAGGCGCGAGAUCCGCAUCCUGCAGCAUCCGCUGUGCCGUUCCGACGCCGACCAGUUGGGCCGCGAGGUUCAACUGCUCGAAGAGGAGGUUGACUUGAUGCAAAAGGAGGUCGACCAGCAGCAAGCCCAACUCAGUAUAGAAGGGUCACCAUCGCAACCAACGGGACCGUACGUGAACCGUCCGCCCCGUCCUCCGCGACCUCCGCCGCCCAAGUUCUCCACCAGCCACCAACCAUUACCUGCAGCUGCUGCGGUCGCACCGGCGGACGGUCGAUACCAGGGCGGUCGCUCGAUAUCGGCCCCGGCGCUGCCGCACGACCCCCAACAGCAGCAGCCACAUCCUGCAAUCGCCGGAGAGCAAUGGACUUGCAGCCUUUGUACAUUCCAGAACCACGAACUCAUGACCCGUUGCGAAGUGUGUUCGUUGCCCAAAAUGCCCGGUAGACUAUCGUCCCAGAGUUCGCUGCCUCCGGCGAGCUCAUCGUCGCCGCCGUCAUCUUCAUCACCUGCCGUAGUCGCUGCUGCACCUGCUUCGGCAUCACUGCUAGUCGCGGCUUCCGCUCCGGUGGCCACUGCCGUCGUGCUGCAAACGUCCGCCGCCGUUGGUUCUCCUUCCUCUUCUUCUUCCUCCUCCUCCUCCUCGUCGACGGCUUCGACCCCGCAAACGCAACCCGCUCCUCCGCCCAUCCAAAGUGCUCAGUUCCAAAAGUCGUCGAUCGAGUGUUGAAAAGAGAGGAAGAGGAAUCGAAGCGGGGGCAGGACGCGAUAACCACAAGCUUAAACGCAGAGUGUGCAAGAGUUGUGUGUGUGUGCGCGCGAUUUUGUAUUAAUCCACUGCUUUGGCGAAAAUCAGUUACCACGAAUCGACAGGAGAUUGAGGAUGUCCCCGUGCCGGCGUUGCUGUGACCCAAAUGUAGGACAUAGAUUUUUGGCAAACCCACUUUUUUUAAGCGAUUCCAUCCCUUUUUUUUUUUGGUUAACCACAAGCAGGUUUUAAAAAGUGUUAUUGACUUGACUACUAAAAACUAGGUUUUAUUUUUAACCGUGAAAUGUGCGUGCAGUUUGCAUGUGAUGAGAUAAGAGUGAUUUUAUAAAGCUUGUGUGUGAUAACUUAAACUAUUCCGUAGGAUUACGUUUUGCAUGAGGUAUUUAUGAUAUAACAACACAAUACAAACCAACUAAGUUCAGCUCAUUACAACGAAAGACAGUGUGGGUUUACAAAGCAAAUCAAAUUAUGCUCAGUAGUAACCUCAGGGCAGGACAUCCACAUCUACCUGUCGCCCGGUCAAAACAAAAUAAUUCACUCCUGGAUCGUUUCGUAGUUCCAUGGCUCCGGAGAUAUCCCGCUCUGUUAUGUAUACAACCCUGCCCUGCUGAGUUCCCCCGCCGUUCGACGUUGACGGAACGUCCGUGGUUCCGGAUAUGCGAAGAACCUAUAGCAUGAAGCAGAUUGAUUUUUUUUUGUUUAAUUUAUGCCUGUGCCCUCAGCUGAGAAUGAGUGGAUGACGAAUGCAAAUUAUCAGGAGAAACAGUUACCCAUUUAGUUGAAGGAAAAGAAUGUGUUAAAACUAUAAGGUGAGAAUGAUAGUGGAAA